rnacentral:rRNA from 1 species
GACGAACGCUGGCGGCGUGCUUAACACAUGCAAGUCGAACGGAAAGGCCCUGCUUGCAGGGUGCUCGAGUGGCGAACGGGUGAGUAACACGUGGGUGAUCUGCCCCUUACUUUGGGAUAAGCCUGGGAAACUGGGUCUAAUACUGGAUAGGACCAUGCUGUAGGUGGUGUGGUGGAAAGAUUAGUUUCGGUAAGGGAUGAGCUCGCGGCCUAUCAGCUUGUUGGUGGGGUAAUGGCCUACCAAGGCGUCGACGGGUAGCCGGCCUGAGAGGGUGGACGGCCACAUUGGGACUGAGAUACGGCACAGACUCCUACGGGAGGCAGCAGUGGGGAAUAUUGCACAAUGGGCGCAAGCCUGAUGCAGCGACGCCGCGUGGGGGAUGACGGCCUUCGGGUUGUAAACUCCUUUCAGCCAUGACGAAGCCCUUGUGGUGACGGUAGUGGUAGAAGAAGCACCGGCUAACUACGUG